rnacentral:rRNA from 1 species
CAGUCGCCGCGGUAACACGUAGGGUGCGAGCGUUAAUCGGAAUUACUGGGCGUAAAGCGUGCGCAGGCGGUUUUGUAAGACAGGUGUGAAAUCCCCGGGCUUAACCUGGGAACUGCGCUUGUGACUGCACAGCUAGAGUAUGGCAGAGGGGGGUGGAAUUCCACGUGUAGCAGUGAAAUGCGUAGAGGUGUGGAGGAAUACCGAUGGCGAAGGCAGCCCCCUGGGCCAAUACUGACGCCCAUGCACGAAAGCGUGGGGAGCAAACAGGAUUAGAUACCCCUGUAGUCCCUGUCUCUUAUAC